UGUGUUGGUUAGUCAAAGGUUCACGUUCUUUUAAGGUUGAAUGACAUGGAAUUGAAUGAAAAAAAAAGUGAAAAUAAUAACACACAACGGAAAAUGUGAAACAAACCAAACAAAAUGAGACGGAAACUUUAUUAAAUUGGCUUCCCGUUGAAUAUGCAAAACCUAAAAGUCAAUUUACCGUGGGCCAGCAAGCUAAUGUCCUUCAUUCACGAACUGGAUUUAUGGAUUGAAUAUAAGGCCAGAUUUAUGGGGAUCAGAUUUGCGAGGUAUUUUAGUGGCCAUCGUCAUCAUUUGAUAUGCUUCCUGGACUCAAGCUCGAAAUUAGACUAAGCGUGGGUCUUUGGCCAAGGACAUGCAACUGAUGUUCCACGCUCAGCAGCAUUAUUCAUAUCCUUGAGGAUUUAAUAGACUGUACACAAGUACUAGUUUUUACUGCCCGGCAAGGGGUUGAAUAAUGGCUUGUCACGAAGGAUGAGAGCGCUUGAUGUGCAACGACAAAGUGCAAGUUGAUGUCUUGUUUGCUAUUUGACUGGCUGCUCUUUUCAGGAUGGCUUCGGCCUUUUGCAGUAAUUUCCAAAAGAAAAGUCCUUAACUGAAGCACUGGCUUUAAAGCCCACAUAUGUUGCGACUAGUUUUGGAAUACCUCUCAGUCUCCAAAUGAAAUCUGAAAUUUAACAAGUCCCUUUUCCAAAUCACGAACUGCAACCGCUUGUGUUUAUGGAGCGUCUUUUGGGCCACAGCUCGUAUAGCACAGAAAUAUGCGCAUAUUUCGAAGUCAUUUUGCCUAACCGCUGUGCACACUUACAUUUUACACAAUGCCAUAAACUUAUGUUUGGCCGUGUGAGAAUGGAGAGCUGCGAAAGUGCACACAAAACUCUCCAGAGUGAGCUGCUGAUCAUAAACGGAAACGGAAGUGGCCACAAACGUUCGCACACAAAUUCUCCAAUAUGGUAUUUCAAUUGCCUGUGUGUGCGAUAACAGUAAAAACUAUCAAGUGUGGACCCACCAAGGAGGUAAACCUAUACUAAAAGUAAAACGUUUAAAAUCAAAAUAAUAAAUGGAGCACAAACCCUGUGAUUACAACGUUUCAAACACAUUGUUUAAACAUGAGAUAUACUUUUGUUUCUUUUAAAAUUGUAUUUCUAAAUUUUCUGGAUUCUUGCAAACACACUUCUUGGGGAGCAAAAAGAGACACCCAAAAAGGUGCGUGUGAAAAAGUGGAAUUCGAGUCCGUGGAAAGUGGCUGAGAUUGCUCGUAAAACCGGUAACCAAACCAUUUUUCCGGCUGCGAAAGAAGCAUUUUGGGACUUAUGCUCUAGGCCAAAGCAGAAUUGGCGAAAAAUGCGGAGGCGAGGAAGCAAAUGCAUUCGGCUGUUGAUUAAGCCCGGCUAAUUGGGGGCUUUUCCGGGGGAAAACACGAUGCAGCUGCCUCGAUUGCAUGCAAAUGAGGCGCGAAAACCAGCCAGUGGCUUUAAUUGUUAUGUUUUGUUUCGGUUCUCGCUGCGUUUCGAGUGGCAAAAACCUCCAUCAACCUUGUUGGGGCCAAGCAACGCAAGGUCAUGCCCACUCCCCAACCUCCACCUCAAAAAAAAAAAAACCGCCAGCCAUUUUCGCCCACCAAGACCAACCACCCAACCACCCAGCCACCCACGCAACGCACAGGAGACAACAACAAGAGUGCACAACACUGACAUGCGGAGCGACAGCGACUGCGAUUCAGUUGGGAAAUAUGAAGUAUACGCCGAGUAUACACGUGCGACACGGCGCAAAAGACAACUUAUUUAACACAUUAUGUGCAAGUUCAAAUAUUCAACUUUAACUCGGGCUUCAACCCAAGACGACCCGCGCUCUCCCAUUUUCCCAUUUGCCCAUCUCAACAUUUUCAGAUCCUCCCAACUUCCAUCACUUCAUCGCGACAUGUGCGAGAAACUUUUCCCUUUGCCAACAAACUUCUUCAGCUUGAGCUGAAUCUUCCAAGGUUCCAUGGUGGAGGAGCUGCUUCAGCGAAAAUGCAUGAAAUUAUUCAUAGUUUCUUUGUGGCACAGGAACACUUGUUACAGCCAAUGUGUCACAUAAGUUGCGUUUGUAAAUGUAAAUACGUAUAUUAUUAUUAAUUUGUGUAUGCCUUAAUAACAAAUCGCACCACUUGUUGGUCAAAGUCUUAAUUCUGCUUUUUUUGCGGCCAUAUAUCUUAAACCACUGCAGUUUAUGACAGAGAUGCCUUCUGGUUUUGUGGCCAACGUUGCUGCUGUGUGCUGCCAAAAAGUGGGCGGUUCAAGGCGGGGGCGUGACAGAUGCAGACGCAGAUGCAGAUUCACGGUAAAGCGCAUAUUAAAUUCCACUUUGGCGGCAGAUGGACGUCCAGAGGAACAACUGCUUCGCAUAAUGCACGAAGGGGCUGGGACAGUGAACUCUGGCUUAUACCGACAGGAAAGUAAUAGUGAACUCUGGCUUAUAAUUAGCUAAUAUACUUAAUUGUUAUCCAUACAUGUUUUAGAUUUUAAACGUAUAGCUUUUGCUUGAAUUGCAAACUUAUUACUUACAAAUGGACAAAAAUUUUUACAUUUUACAUUUGUACCAUUAUUUGCAUUGUUAUGUCCUAUAAACAAUAUUUCUUUGCUGCAAAAUCAGAAAUACGUGCAUUCAUAACUUUGUUAUAUGUUGGCUAAAUACAAUCAACUAUUUUUCCUGCAAUAUAUAUUUUAUGUAUUGUAUAUAUAUAUAUAUAGUAUAUACUAGAGAAAUGCAACAUCUAAAUGAUCUUAUAGUCGGUCUUCACUGUUGCCCUUGUGUUUGCCCACCGACAAAUGCGGCAAAUGGGCAAACAAAAAAAAUGCAUUGUCCCUGCGACAGGACUCCUUCGUUCCUCGUGUCACUUAAUUUCCAGCGACAAUAAAGCCAACAAUGGCAAUAAAGAGCCAAAAGACAAGCCACACAAAGAGCCACCGUCGACCACGAAUUGGCUGCGGAAAGGAGUGAAAGGACACGCCAGUCCGGUUCGAGUCCUGCUGCUCCCUGCUCCUUGCUCCCCGAUGGUCAAAGGAUGUGAUCUGGUGCAGGAUGAUAUAUGACAGCCGCAUAUGGCCGCAUGGCCAUUUGAAUGCACUUUCAACCACUGUGAAAGUACAGGUUUUAUUAUUUUGGGUGGAAAAUUGGCAAGGAAAGGCGGUCUGGAAAAUAAAUAUGUGCUCUGCGUGCAACGUUAAUGCAACAGGGAUGGAAAGAAUCUUGCUGAAAAAUGCUCUAUCAUAUGAUAAAAAAAAUAAAAAAAUAGCCGUUUUAAUUUAAUUUAAAUGUUAACAUAGCCAAGUUCACACUUCUACGUUUAGCACUGAUUACUAGCGUUCAGUUUCAUUCCUUACGUUUCCAUCAGUGAAUAAACUCAUAUUUUAUACAAAACUUGUGCGAUGAAUUGUCAAAUCACUAAUAAAUAAAUCACUAUAAGAAUUUGUAUUAUUUGAUUAUCAAUUUAUAUGUGCUUUUUUCUUUGGUCAAAUCGCUCGCUAAAGUUAUAUCCUUUUAUAUAUUUUCCAACUCCCAAGUGCUUUUCGAAAUCAUACAAUUUAUUAUGCCUACUUUUCCUUGUCUGACUUUAAUUAAUAUUUUUAUUAAUAUUCACACACAACUUCGUUGCGAGAAAUGCGAAAGAUGAAAACCACAAUGCCAACGUCGUUUUUAAUUCGAUUAUAAAGUGUAUGCAAAAAACUGAAAUAUGAAAAAAAAACAUACAUCAUAUACUCGUAUUAAUAUUCCACCUUAAUUCUGCAUUCCCUUGGGGCCAAAUAAUUGCAAUCCCUUUUCCGCAAAGGAGUUGUAAAUGUAUUUUUAAAUUGGACGUUUUUCUGGGCCACAUCUGUAGUGAAGGGCUGUACACUGAAAGAAAUAUUUCGAUUUGGCUAAUAUUGAAAUUGCUUUUUAUUUAUGUGCACUUAAAUUAAACACACUAAACAUGCUAUUUUUAUGAACCACUCCAGAUGUGAUGUCGAAUGUAAAAAUGUGUAAGCAGUGUAUUUAUAUUUUUUAUGUGCAUUUUCACCAAUGCAAUUUCUGCGUAAUUGGAGCAACAGUUUUUUGUGCCCGGAGCCGGAAACAGAAGCCAACAAAUUGAGUUUUGUUUCCCCCAUGAAAUUGUUGGGGCUCCGUCGUAAAUCAAAAGUUGCUGGCAGCGAAAUGGAGCGAUGCUUUUUUACAUUUCACGUAAAUAAUAACGGUUUGACUGCAGCAGCUGCGUCAACAAGGAAAACAUUUUUCGAAUAUGUGACCCCUGACCCCAACAAAACCAUCACUCACCACCCAUUAUUCACCCCAAUCAAUUAAAGUUAUACGCUUAAAGCAAAGGAAAACAUUUGAAAAAGUUACACAAACUAAAGCUAAUAUCAAAUUCCAUUUAGGGAGAUUAAAAUACAAAUUGUAAUUAUUUUGUUUAUUAUAUUAUAUACAUAUCAGCUGUAAACUUACCUUGUUACUGUUCACAACCUGUAAUCCAAGACAAAAUUGUUUAAAACUCGAUGUUUGUGUAUAAAUGUAGUUUAUUUUUGUUUCUCGCUGUUGUUUGCAUUCGGUCACGUGUUAAGUAUUAAUAAAUAAAUUGCAUUAGGUAGUAUACGAUUAGUGUUUGGUUUAAGAAGUUAGUUAGAGGCGCAGUAGCAGAGAGUUUCUAUAGUGGGUUCCUUAGUGUGUUUGCCGUGUCCCGAGUAGCUUAGAAAUUAAUAAUUUAAUUGUUGUGGCUGUGUGUGUCGUCUGUGUUUUGCAAAAAUAUUGCACCUGCGCUUCCGAAUGGCGAUCAGAAGAAUUCUAUAUAUAUAUAUUUAUAUAAAUAUUAUUAACUUGCGUCUUUUGUUGUUACCUGCACUUGAAAUAUUUAAAAUACUCUUUUAGUUUAGUCGUUUCCAUUUAGAUUAAUAACAUAUGUAUACAUAUUGGUUUCAAUUUGCUUUUGUGGUUUAUUUGCCUUUUUUGUCGCUUUUUAAGUAUGCAAAAAUAAGCUCUCUCUCUUUCUUUCUCUCUGUGUCUAUCCCUUUUGCUUUCUAUGGCGCCGUCUCUGUCGUUUAUGUGGCUCCGUCUCUUUCUUACAUGUAUGCCUUUGCUUAACAGAAACUAGACAAUGCUGAAAUUAUUGUUCUUCGUAUUACUUUUGCUGUUUUGCUUAUUGUUUUCGCUUUAGAUAUAUCAUAAUUAUCGUACGAGUAUAUAUCGUUAUGUAUAUGGCAAUAAUCGAUCGAGAAAUGUGCAGUUUUCUUGUACAAACAUUACAUAUACAAUUAGAAUCAAUAUGCGCUUCGUUUUAUGUUUUUCUGACGCUUUUUAAAUGCAUUUAUUUUGUUUGUUGUUUUGUUGGUUUUGCAGGCAUGGCUUCGUUUGUCUAAGGCUAUUUUUAAUAAUAAAUAUCGGUAAUGGUAUUGCAAUAAUUAUCCGCAAUGGCUCUAUACAAUAAUAAGUUUAACGAAAUCUAAUCUUUUUUGGCAUAAGGUGUGUUGCUUUUUGUUUCUUUUUAUCGAAAAUUAUAAAUGUAGUUAAAGAACUAAAGUACGGUUAAUAUACAUGACAAAUAAUGGAUUAGAUCAUAUCAUAAAAAUUUGCUUGCAAGUAAAUUCAAUCGAAUGCUUAAGCUAAUGGAUGCGAGGGAAUUCGGGAAGGUUGGUAUUUUCGGGACAAUGCGUUUACAAUUUUUUAAAUACUUUACAAUGACUGCUCACAUACACUCGCACUGGCUUUAAAUUCAGUCUUUUUCAUGUACACAGAUGGACAAAAUGAACCAAAAAGUAGCAUAUUCUGUAACUGCAGUAAUAAUAAUCUCUAUUGCAGUUGUGGUCGCUGUGGACACCUGAACGAUUUGACGACGAACAAUUAAUCUCAUUGUAGACUUAAUACAUUUGCAAUUCAUUUAAAUUAACUACAAUUAUGUUCGCAAUGUGAAUACAUAAAGACAAAUAAUCAAUGAACAAUUUAAGACUAAACAAAUUCCAAUUUAAGGUCUCUUUGCGAAUCAAUGGAACUUAAAGCUGGUGAAGUUGCAGUUGACGAAUUUAUAGUUUUUCGAUUCCAGCGUAGGCGUGUGAACAGUUGCAUAUAUAUU